GGUAGAGUUACCGUUCUUCUAACCUUGAGGGUCUAAAAUAAUGAAAGUGAGUAUAAAAUUAGUCUAAUAUAUACUUUUCUUAAUUUGAUAUUUGUGUAAAUCCAAUUAUUUUCAAUUAUUCAUUAUUAAAUCCUAUCUUAGUAUGAAUAAGAAGACAAAAAUGGGAAAUGGGUUUGCUCUUCAGCCUCUUCUAUCAUAUUUAGCAAAAUAUAGUUGCAGAGGAAAUUCGAAUAUGGAUAUUUUUAAUUAUUGAUAAACCACAAUGCUACAUACUUUUGGAAUUGUCGGACUGAAACUACAGUGUAUGUUUAUUUUUUUUCAAGGUCUAAGAGUAUUGGGUCAAACAUUUUAUCUUAUUUUUUUAAUGCUUAGAAGUUUAGUGCAUGCCCAAAACAGGUCAUCAGGUCACAGGCGCUUGUUACAGUACAGUUUAACUAUACACAAAAUUGUGUUACAGUGUAUAGUUAAUAGUCCUCCUGUAUGAAACAAGCGCCUGUGCGUCAGAUGUACACUAUUAUAAACUAAUUCCCAAUUAAAUGACUUACAUAGAAAAAAGGUUAUGGCUUUUACUUCUGCCCAAUAUUUCUAUCCUUUAUUGGACAAUUUAAUCCUGUCCAUGUGGGUUUUUUAAAAACAAUUUUGGAGCAUGACCACAAGUCCUCAACUAGGCUUGAACACAAGACCCUUUGGUUUAAAUCAACUAACACCAAAAUGCGAAAUGACCGAGUUAAAGGGUUAGAGGGGCAUGGUCACGAUUUUGAUCAAAAAUUAUUUUUUUGAUUUUAACGUUUACAAUUCUUCAGUGAGGCAUAUGUAAUAGGCAACCAAAAUUUGAACGUCAUUUGUUGAGUUAUAAGCGAAUUACAGAAUUUUACAAUUCUUAGCUAUGUAAAGAAAGAUUUUGUUCACAUUUUGAAUGUUGAAGGGAAAAUUACAGUUUUAGACCACAACUGAAUGUGUUAAUUGUUAGGAAUUGUUUAUUUAUGCUUAAAAAGAAUAAGAAGAUAGAAAAAUCAGCUUGAAAAAGAUUUUUUACUGGUAUAUUGAACCUAUGUAAACAAAAACAGGGCACAAGCCUUGUUUACAUGACGAAGAAUUGUAUGCCCUGUAUCUUGCUUAAAACUCAUUGACUGGCACCCAAAUUUAAUUGAUAAUAAGAAAUGCAUUAUUAAAGCUUUGUAAAUAAUAAAAACAGAAGAAUAAAAUUUGACCAAAAUCGUGACCAAUUGUUACACACUAAAACUGAACACAAUCGAAUGAUUUCACAUCAGUUUAUUCCAUGAGUGUAUCAAUGCGAGGUUGAACAAAGACUGAUUGAAUUUCUUAUACAGUAUCUUUUAACUAGAAAUAAAAUGUCAAAUUCCCGCGGACGGGAUGGAGGUAAUUAAAAGUUAAAACAAAGAUUAAGGUGAAAAUGCCUAGCCUGUUUAUAAUCUAAAAUUUAAUUGGAACCAAAUCUGCCAAGUCCCACGAUUUGAGCGAUAAGGUGCGAAAGAUGGCGGGGAGAACUGUCAAAGCCUCUCCCCCAUUCAUAAUUUACAUCAUUUGCUGACCUUACAAGAAUUUGUAGAAUUCUUACUACAAUGAAAUUAAGGUUAAAAUUUACUCUUAACACCAUGCCUCUUAAACACCACUAGCUAUAAUAGGAGCAAGGCAAUACCUAAUCCAUUUACACAUAAUUCACAAUAUUUUAAGAAUACCAGUAUCUUGUAUUCAAUUACUAUAAGGUAGUGUGGAACAUCUGUCAACAUUAAUGUGCCGGUGGAUUAAAGUACAUUAUAAUUGAAAUAUUUUCACCAGUUUAAAAUUUUCAAAUUUUGCAGUAUUAAUAAAAAAAAAAAUAUGUUUUAAAAUUUUUUUGGAAAGGUAAAAUAUUUUAAAUUCCAAGCGGGGUUGGAACUUGAGACUUACAGAUCUGUAGUAACCCGCUAACCCACUGCACUACGCUGUUAGAUGACCAUUUUUGAGCAUCAUCGGAAACCAAUUGGUACUUAGUCUAGUCUACUCUAGCAUUGGAUUACUAGUACUAACCAUGGUGUUUAAAUUACCGGCAUUCAACAGAACCAGAAACUUUCAGUGAGUUAUGCAGUUGGCCCAUGGUCAUUCAGCCUAUGCAAGACUUAUCCUGAGUUUCUGGUUUGAGGUGCAAGGGUUACAGUAUCUUAUUAACGACAAGCACAUACAGCUGCCAAAGUUCUCUUUGGGGUUCAGUCCUAUAAUGUUUUGGUUCAUGGGUGGUAACCCAAAACAUUGAGUUUUUGCUCUGCUUGGAAAGAUGAUAAUUUAAGAUUUUGUUUUGACUAUCCAGACAUCUCUGACAUUGUCUACCUUCAAAAGUUCAUGUCAUUGAUGGAAUCUUUUACUUUUUAGGGGCUUCAGGUAUUGCGAAGAGGUUUCUCCACCUCCACCCUCAGAAAUGGAGCAGUGCGGGACCCCAAGAACCCUGGAUUCAUGGUCCCGAGGAGUAAUCCAGACUCUUGGUAUAGCUAUGAUAACCUUGUAGUCAAAAGAAUGAGAAAGUACUUGGUAAGUAUUUGGUAAAAACUGUAAAACUAUUGAGAAUGUUUAAGUUUAAUAUUUGAAUGGUGAAAGACUAGUUUUACAUUGUGCAGACAAAAGUAUGUUAAGAGAAAACUAAACUCUAAUGAAUGAUUCAAUCAUUUUAUUUGCUAAGAGUAGGAUGACAUAAUAAAUAAUAUAAUGUUCAAGAUUAAAUAAUUUUGUAUAAAAUUGAAACUAAUGCUGGCCUCGAGUCAAAUAUUCAUUGAUUAUGCAGGCACAGCCUCAAACUUGUUUAUCAUAGACGUAAAUUGCAUGUAUGAAGGAUUGUUUUAUAGCAAAAAAAUUAUAUUGUAAACAAUUACAAGUGCUACAAUUAAAAAAGAACUUCCCCAGCUUCACAAAACAUCAGCAAGAGCAUAUAGAUCAAGAAAAAGCAUAUAAAGGCAGAUUUAGUUUAUUACAGUUUUACAUUCAGAUUGCUUUUUGAUAUAGAAAAGGGUAAGAUUCGUUGUUGCCCUAAAUUUGAUGGUCCAUUUACUAAGACUGUAGUUUCCAUUUUAUCGAUGGUACUAUUUUUAUUCCAUUUAAGGAGCCAUCAAAGGACUUCACACACAACAGGACACCCGUGGGUAAACCCUAUACCAUUUUUGUAUGUGGGUACUUCGUUGUGUGGACCACAAUAUGUGCAGUGCAAGGCUUCAGAACAAUCCCAUUUGCUAAGAAGUCCUAAAAAGAACUAUUUCACCAACUUGCAGAUUAUGUUGAUACAGAAGUUUUAAACUUAUGAAAAUAAAUGUUUGA
rnacentral:misc_RNA from 1 species